UACGAAGGGGGCUAGCGUUGCUCGGAAUUACUGGGCGUAAAGCGCACGUAGGCGGCCAUAAUAGUCAGAUGUGAAAGGCCUGGGCUCAACCCGGGAAUUGCAUUUUGAUACUGUAUGGCUAGAGUCCAAGAGAGGGUAGUGGAAUUCCCAGUGUAGAGGUGAAAAUUUGUAGAUAUUGGGAAGAACACCAGUGGCGAAGGCGGCUACCUGGCUUG
rnacentral:rRNA from 1 species